GUUCGCGGCAAUGCUAUUAUUUGUGCCAACGAUCACCGAAGGUAGGUUAUGUUGGACCCGGUUAGUACUUGCAUAGGUGACCGGCUGGGAAUGCCAGGUGUUGCUGACA
rnacentral:rRNA from 1 species